AUUAUACUCCUUCCGUCCAACAAAAGAUGUCUCAAAUUUGUCAAAAUUUAAAUGUAUCUAGACAUGACUUAGUGUAUAGAUGCAUUUAAAUUUAGUCAAAGUUGAGACAUCUUCUAUUGUACGGAGCAAGGAAGAU
rfam:Brachypodium distachyon strain Bd21 chromosome 1, whole genome shotgun sequence.